rnacentral:lncRNA from 1 species
CAGACAUCAUGAUCUGAUCCAUAGCAAGACCCAUUUCAAUCCUUCAAAUCGUUUCUUUUUUCUUUCGUUUUCUUUUAUUGUAAAUCCCAAGAAAAUAAUUAGGACUAGAGUUUGAUGUCAAUCCUUCUAAUCAUCUGAUGCAAACAAAACAAUUCUUUGUAAUGUGGUGUAAUACGGCAUUGAGGGAGAUCCCAUCAUGUGGCUUACCUUAUUAAUCUUAUAAUGUUUUUUUUAAGUCGAAGCCAAUCAUCAUUUCUUUUCGUGUUGAAAAAUAUUUUUAUUCAAAAAUAUCAGUUGUUCACAAAAAAAAAAAAAUAAAAAAAUCAAUGUUCUAAAAACGCCGCAUCCGUUUAGACGACCAAUCAGUCAACCGAAACAAUUUUCGUAAAUCUAUUUUAAUUGUCUUAAAGCGGUUUAAAACGUCUAAAAGUUAGUUUAAAUCGGUCUAAAUCAGUCUAAGUGAAUCUAUAUAAAUUAAAUUAAAUACUAUCAAAGUGGAUUAAUUAUGGCUAAUUUAUUUAUAUUAUUUGUACCACCAGUUUGUCUAUCAAGUGGUGAUAUUUUCUUUUCGCUCUAAAUUUUUUUUGGUGUAAGUUGACAAAUUUGUCUGAGUUAUUUUUGUGUAAAUAAUUUUUUAUAUUUCAUUAACCAAAAAAAUAAAAAAUAUCUAAUAUAUAAAUUGUAUAAUAAAUAAUUUUUUUUGUUAAUGCCUAUUGCCUAGGGCUUUGAUGAAUCUGACUAAACACUAAUAAAUUACAAAGUUUAGUUACCGUCAAAUGAUAUUUUGAACUUUAUUAUUUAAUUAAUUAAUUAAUAUCAUAAUUUACUAAAAAAUAUUAAUUGGCAAGAAAUAAAUAAUUUCACAGACACCAAUUUCGAACCAAGGUAAUGAAUAAACAACAUAAAAUGCCAAAAGGAUGUUACCUUCUUUUCUCCCAAAGUAUUUUAUUUUUUUUGACCAUCUUCUGUAUAUUCAUAACAUUCAAAGAAAAGCUAUUAGAAUUCUGUAUUUCUAUCUAUUGAUCAAAUUUCAAAACAACAAAAUAAACAAGAUGAAACGACACUUUGGUCCCAAUUGGGGAUUAGGUUGUUGAGACUUUUAUUCCUUAUGAAGUUUCUACGGAAAAUAUUUAACCAAUCAAACUUUUUUGAUUCGUUCACGUUAUAUAAAAACCAACAUUUAAUGGCUUAUGUUUUUUUUUUUGCUAAAAUUUUGGUGCAUUAAACUAAAAUAAGAGUGGUAAGAGUACAAGGUUUGAUUUUCGCUUAUGACACUAGUAGAUAGAAAUGUUGAGGCCUUGUGGCGAUGAAGUUUUCUGGUUGCGCAAAGGACCAAAGUUUAGAUCCAUAUGUCGCCGAUUGCUGAACCGCCGUAGUGAAAGUUUUCAGCUGGCGUGUAGACCCAAAGUUGACAAGGUGUCGCUGAUAUAUGUUAUGGAUUUUACAAAUUUUUAGCCAUAGUUUAAUUUUCUUUAAAAUAUGUAUAUAUAUAUAUAUAUAUUAUAUAUGUUUGAAGUCCAUUUCAACAUUUUUUUCAGAUCUAAGAGGCUUCUUGUGGAGAUUAUGAAGGAUUUUGAAACUUAAAAAUGAAGAAGUUCGUAUCUGUUCAAAGAACUCAGAAACAAGAUAUAUAACGAGUGUUGAUCGAUACUAUCCUUUGUGGCGAUCAACAACCGCGCAAAACAGACCAAAUUUAUUUUUCGUAAUUAGGCUUGUGCACAAAUUACAAAAUUACUCCUGGCUGACUUUAUAUCAAGUAUUUAUGGUUUUUAAACCAUUCUUUAGGGUAAGAUGUUUUUUUCCAAUAAAUUUAUUUAGAAGCUUUAUAGUUUGAAGAGAAGAUCAAGACUUAUUCAGAGUUUUGUACUUGAAAUCAAAUAUCUCUUACUCUAUCUAUUUAUACAAUUCAUGUGAUUCAAAAAGCUCUAACGCUAGAAGCCGCCAAUACUCCUAGAAGAAUGAUAAGUGUAAUGGCACAAGAUGAGUAUGGUGUUUACAGAGAUCAAGAGGGGAACACAUGAGCUAAUGAUGGGAGAAUCAUAAAUGUUUCUAAGGCUGAUAUAGUAGAGAUUUUUGAGAGUGCUGAAAGUGUAGGAAGACAUUUUCUAAGCCUACCACAUUAUGUGUAAUGUAUGAAGCUGGGUUGUCCUAAAUCUUGCUAUUGGGACCCACCUGAAUUUACCAGGAGAGAUCAUGUUGAAGAGAUGAUUGCUGAAGUUGUUACAGCCCCAGAGUUGAUUGUUUGUACAAAUUUUAGUCGACUAGAAAGAGAGAACUCGAAGGUGGGAUGAACAAAGACGUUUUAUUAGAUCGGACAAAAAGGUUACAAGAGCGGUUAAGAGAUUGAGGCGUUAAGCCGGUCCUCGGAGAGCUAACCGGGAAAGUACAAAGCGGUGAGAGAUAAAGAGAGACUAAAACCCUAGAUAUAGCCACUCAGUAUGUAUGUCAAAUUAUGGAUCCAUUUCUUGUUGUUUCCUCCUUUCCUUUUAUAAGCCUCUUCUUCUCAUUUUCCCUAAUCUGAGUACGCCUUAUUGGGCCUUGCCUUGUGAAAGCCGAGUACAUGGGCUUUUGAGGAUUCUCUUUAAGCCCGAUGCUUUUAGUCGACUUCACCAUCGGCUAAAAGCAUUAUGGGGCUGAGCCGACAGUUCUACUCGCCGAGCCGAGUAGACUCCUUGCUUGGCAGGCUAGACAUUAUUAUUUGAUAGGACUUGUGGAAGGAUGUAAUCCAUCUCCUACAAUAAGUCCCCCCUAGUUCACUUGUGAGAAGCGUAGCGGUCUCAGUGAAUUUGUGGGUUAGGUUCGAUCGGAUAAUAAGAUCUAGCAUGAGAGAUGCUCAGUCUUUCGUCGGUCGGGUAGAAAUGAUUGUGAAGGCGUAUCUACCUGCUAGAGUUGAAGUAGCACCUUGGGAACAUAUCUACUUGUCUUUCAUGAUCUCCGCAAGGCGCAGUUGGUCGCCUUUCGUUGGUCGAGUAGAGAGCGGUUGUCAAGAUACGUUUACUUGAAACUUGCUGUUUCUGUGAUAGAAAGCUCGUUUAGUCGUCCCUCGUUUGUUUAGGACUGGCACAGCUAGGUUUUGGUCGCCGGUCGCCUCCCUUAGUGGUUUGGUCUUUGCGGUGGUCAAUCGUUAACCAUUUGCUGUUAGAAUCCGGUUUAAGUGUGAACCGGAAAUUGAUUUGGGUUUGACUACAAACCGGGAACCGGUUUGCACGAGAAGCCAAACCGUCGCGAGUAGAUUAUUGGGUAUGUAGACCAGCCCUGGAGGCCCAUUUGGGAAGCGUGCCUUCGUCUUUACUAUAAAUAGGCCACUUCCCUUCGCUUUCGUCAUUCUUCUCUGCAGAUCCAGGUACCCGUUUUUUCUCUCCCUUCUCUCUACUCUCUUUUUUUUUUGUUUCUCUCUCAAAGUUCAUAUUCGGGUAAGUCAGCGUCCCGAUUGUCGGUCUGUUCGUCCCCGGAACAGAAAACAUGCCUCCGAAAAGCCGACUAUUACGCGAGGAGAAAGGAAAUGCAAUUGUUACUGCUCCGAGUCCGACUAAAGACACGACGGCGAAUCGUAGCCCAUUGGAUGAAUUCGACCUAGUCCAUCGUGACGCUUUGCGGGAUACAGAGAAUAUGAGUUUGUCUCAGCGACUAUUAGUCGCCGAUUCCCAUAGGCAGAUUCGCGAGGAAGAUUCCAGUCGGAUCAAAGUUAGCGAGGAUAGCAAUGCGAGUUAAAGUAGGAGUAGUGGGAGCGAUGGUCGUGGGGACCGGGGUGACGGCCGAAGAAGUUCAGAGGGUGAUGGUUCUGAAGCAUCAGGCCAGGUUCUGAGGCCUUCGAGAAGGGUUCGUCGGAGGUUUCAUUUCGAUCAGAUAGACUGCCGGCCUACGAUCUAUCAUCCUGGUGGGAUCUUUGAGGAGCUCCCUCCGCUUCCGCCUGAGGCGUUGCGAGACCCGUGGGCUGAAGGACAAUCUUGGAAGAACACGUUCGGCACUUGCUCCUCUCACAAGACUGUGAAGGACUUGUUGAGGCGGUACAGAGGUGCUGGCAUUAAAUACAUCAUUCCUUCUGUGGAGCAGCGACCCUGGUCGCCUCCGGUUGGCUACUUCCUAUGUGUUCCGUCGGGAUAUUGCGAUCAGCCAGUUACUGAACGGAUCGCUGCGCAUAGCCAUUAUGCUGAUAGUAUUGGCUGCGGAGAUAGAUGUCUCGAUGAGCGUGAGACUAUUCAAGGAGUUGACUUUUACAAAGGCCGAGCCGAACGGGUUGUUCUCGGUGAAAAUACGUUCGAACUACUGUUGGGGUCAAAAUUGGUUGCGAUGGAUCAACGUCAGAAAAAACGUCUGAGAAAAAUUUCUCUUCAUUAAAGAAAAAUGAAGUUGGGAAAGAACGGAAAAAACUAUCAGAGAUCUAAAGAUAAUUUCGUCGAAACAAACAAACUUGAUCGUCAAACACGGAUUCAGCUCGGCCGUUCACCGAGCUGGACCAGUCCAGCACCGGAUUCAGUUCGGCGAACGGCCGUGCUGGAUCAAACCGGAACCCGUCUUCACCUCGAACUCGUAACUCCUCUCCCAAGCCUGCAUCAAACUCAUUCUUGUUUUGUUUCGAUCGGAGGCAUCGUUGGAACUUUACUAUUUAAGAAACUGCAGGAACUCGUCUUUUCUUUAAGGAUAUUCGGAUUGAUCGUAUAAAACGGCAACAAUCAAACUAAGCACCUCGAAUUGCCUACGCUAUAUGAGAAAUUAGAAUGUUCCUUAAAAUCGACGUCCUUUUCGAAAGCGCUCUUUGUAUAAAAUCGUAAAGACGUCUAAGUCGGAAAAUGGCCCAAACGAGGCCGGAUGGUGGCUAAGAGGUCACUUACGAUUUUAUAGAAAUCAAGCCCAAUUGUUAUGACAGUUUAUCUUUUGUUAUGCAGGAAAAGAUAAAUGUCGAGUUUCUGAAGAUAAAUGUCAAGUUUCCGAAGAUGAAUACCAAGAUCGAAGGAAAAUGGAAUAUUUCCGCAAAGCGAUAAACUUGACCGGGGGCAGGAAGGGAAAAAGGUAAACCGCCUUAGAGGGAGUAUAUAAGGAGAUCGAGGCUGAAGGGGGGCCAUUGUUGAAAGAUAGGAGAAUGUUUACACGGAUUGUGGAUCCGAAUCUAAAAGGGAAUUACCCAUUAAAAGGAUUGCAUCAAGCUCUAGCAAUUGCGACAAUGUGUUUGCAAGAAGAAGCAGAGACUAGGCCAUUCAUGGGAGAUGUGGUCACAGCACUAGAGUUCUUGGCUAGGCCUAUAGAGGUUGUUGAUGAUACUACUAAUACUGACACUACUACUCCUGCUCCUGUUUCUGUUACUCAGACAUCAUGAUCUGAUCCAUAGCAAGACCCAUUUCAAUCCUUCAAAUCGUUUCUUUUUUCUUUCGUUUUCUUUUAUUGUAAAUCCCAAGAAAAUAAUUAGGACUAGAGUUUGAUGUCAAUCCUUCUAAUCAUCUGAUGCAAACAAAACAAUUCUUUGUAAUGUGGUGUAAUACGGCAUUGAGGGAGAUCCCAUCAUGUGGCUUACCUUAUUAAUCUUAUAAUGUUUUUUUUAAGUCGAAGCCAAUCAUCAUUUCUUUUCGUGUUGAAAAUUAUUUUUAUUCAAAAAUAUCAGUUGUUCACAAAAAAAAAAAAUAAAAAAAUCAAUGUUCUAAAAACGCCGCAUCCGUUUAGACGACCAAUCAGUCAACCGAAACAAUUUUCGUAAAUCUAUUUUAAUUGUCUUAAAGCGGUUUAAAACGUCUAAAAGUUAGUUUAAAUCGGUCUAAAUCAGUCUAAGUGAAUCUAUAUAAAUUAAAUUAAAUACUAUCAAAGUGGAUUAAUU